AUGGCUGGCAUCGCGCCCCCCGGCGCAGGGCAGGUUUGGACCCCAUCCUGCAUCACCCCGUGCUCGCGAGGGCACUUUGCAAACAUCUUGGCAACCACAAGAGCGACGCUCGAGCGGUUUCGCGAUGGUUAUCAAAACCCCAAGGAGCAAAUACAGCCGUCUAUCUCCCCCUCGGCAUCUCCGCGCCGGGGCCGCCAGCGCCCUGGCAGCCCGGCGAGGCCAGGCGUGCCGUGUGGGUACCCCGCGCCCUAUCGCCCCGCUAUCUCCAAACCGACCCGCCGAUGGGGUUACGGUCGGGGUUCCGCCUCCCAGAUUGGGUUUGUGGGCGCUCGUCCGCUGGGGCGCCCGGCGAGCGGACGGAGACGGGUCCGGGAUGGGGAACUGAGACCCCCCAAGGGUGGAUGUGCCGUAUUUCGGGCCACCUUCGUGCUGCCAGCCCCCACCCUGUUCCCAGGGGGCCUCCCGGCUAGGCGAUGCCGGUUGGAUUCGGUUUCGGAGCAGCGCGUGAUGGGAAGGGCUGACCGCGAUGCGGGACAGCGAUCGCCCUUCUGCGAUGGACGCAACGGGAGGGGAUCCCCACGUUUCCCCAAAGCCGCCAGCCUCCCGCGUGGGCUGGGCGAUGGAGAAGCCCUGGGAAAUGCCGGCCGGCAGCGCACGUGCUCCCGCAGCUGCCAAAAUCCCCACGGUGCGGCGGGGAGCUGUGGCUCCGCUCCCCCUUCCCACCCCAUCCGAGGGGAAGCUCUCGCCAGCCCCGCUGAUAUCCCGGCCCUUCCUGCGUGCCGGCCAGGAAGGAGCUGCGAGGCCACCCCCCGGCUCCUCCUUAUCUGCUCCCCAGACCUUUGCCCCCGGCUCCCGGCCUGGCAUCCCGGUCGGUGUAGGGCGGGAGGGGGCUGCGAUGCCAAACCCGCGGGCGUCCCAAUAUCCUGGGGGUCACAGCACCGCGGAGCCCCGUAUCCCGGCAGGCUCCCCAAAAGGGACCACAAAGCCUCGGCUCUGGCCGUGCCUCCCCUUCACACACACGCCGCCCCCCCCACCUUCCCUCGGCGGAGCGGGUUAUUUGCAUUCUUUAUGUAA
rnacentral:lncRNA from 1 species